rnacentral:rRNA from 1 species
CGGGAGUAAUGUCUGGGAAACUGCCUGAUGGAGGGGGAUAGCUGCUGGAAACGGUAGCUAAUACCGCAUAACGUCGCAAGACCAAAGAGGGGGACCUUCGGGCCUCUUGCCAUCGGAUGUGCCCAGAUGGGAUUAGCUAGUAGGUGGGGUAACGGCUCACCUAGGCGACGAUCCCUAGCUGGUCUGAGAGGAUGACCAGCCACACUGGAACUGAGACACGGUCCAG